UACGGAAUGUGCAAACGUUAUUCGGAAUCACUGGGCUUAAAGAGUCCGUAGGCGGCAUGUUAGGUGAGGUGUGAAAUCCCCCGGCUCAACCGAGGAAUUGCGCUUCAAACCGGCGUGCUUGAGGAAGAUAGAGGUGGGCGGAACUGAUGGUGGAGCGGUGAAAUGCGUUGAUAUCAUCAGGAACACCGGAGGCGAAGGCGGCCCACUGGGUCUUUUCUGACGCUGAGGUGCGAGAGCGUGGGGAGCGAACCGG
rnacentral:rRNA from 1 species